CCCUGGGAUAGCUCAGUUGGGAGAGCCCAAGACUCUUAAUCUUAGGGUUGUGGGUUCGAGUUCCACCUUGGGCA